ACUCAGAACUCAGGUAACUGCUCCCCAUCCAGCAGUUCCCUCUCUCUGGAAUGAAAGAUAAAAGUCAGAAAACUACUGAAGAUCCUUAGGGAAAUGAGAUUCCCUAAAAUUUGGAUGGAAAAGAAGGGAAAAAUGUACUCAGAAUAUCCAAGACAAUGAUCUCAUUCCUGGAUUUUUGAAGAAGAAGGAACUAAGUGAACCAGUUGCCAAGACAACCUGUGUUGGGGAGAAGGGUUAGGGCAAGGAAAUGGGAGACCUAUGGGUACUUCUGUUUUCAUCUCUAUCCCUAGCAGCCUUUCAUGGGGUCAGAGGCUGUUUGGAGUGUGACCCCAAAUUUACAGAGGAUGUUAGGACCUUGUUGGGAAACCUGGUACCUCUAGAAGUUCCUGAUAGAAAUCAACUACUGGACAGGCAACAUAAGGAGAUAACCCAUAUAAGCUCCAAGGUCUCCCACAAGGAUAAGAUGCUUCGGUUGUUGGCUGUUCGAAAUGUGAUCAAAUUGAGAGAAUGGCUGAAGGAUGAAUUUUAUAGGCUGGGCAACGAAACAUGGAAAGGAGUCUUUAUCAUUCAAGGCAAUCUUCUGGAGAUCCGCCAAAACUUGGAGAAAAAACUGACACAAAUAAUAAAGAACUUCUCUGAAGUUGGUAAUGAGACAUUUCUACCUAAACAACACUGAAAUUAUGUCAGAGAACAGGAACUAUGGGCUUGUUCAGAAGAUUGCAGUGAGUACAGUACAUGGGACGCCUUGAGUUGUAAUUGAAGGUCCUGUCCUCGAUUGUUGGAACUGUCUUCGGAUGACCACUCGGUGUUUCAAAGGAGACUAUUGUCAAGAUGAGGAUCCAAAAACCGCUGAAAAUCGAGAGAUUUCCCUCUAUCUGAUAUUUAUAGCAGAAGCUGUCAUUUUGGCGAGUGCUGUGCUACUAUUCCAUGUUUGCAUCUCACAUCGGAGGAAAAUGAAGGCAAUACGAAGAACUUUGAAGACAUAUUUGGAGAAGAAACUAGAAGAACUAGUGGAGAUGAUAUACAAAGAUGAUGGUGAAAAAAAUUUGGAGUUUGGGAGAUCAAAUUCAAACUCUCUGACAGGAGAGCCUACAUGUGCUGAGUCAGAAAUGCAAACUGGGACUUGAAUUCCUUAUUGAUCAGGAAAAUCACAGCAUCUCAAAAACUGGAAUAUAGCUUAGGGUUUCUCCAGUGAACAUCCUUACUGACAUCCUGAGACAAUGGACAGAAUGAGAGGGAAGAAGAUUUACCCUGAGCUAUACAGAAAGAAAACUGCUAUGCUGCAAUACACACAAGAAACAUAUGCCAUGUGAUAAUAAACAGGUAUUGUUACUCAUAAA